CUCUGACAUAUGACAAAAUCAUCACAGGCUCACUAUGCAAGUACUGGAGGUGCUUGCUCAAGCUUUUUGAGUCUUUGCAUCCCUUCUCACUCUUUCUGUUCUGAGAAAGCCAUGUUGGAAAAGGUGAUAUUCAUGAAGAACACGUGCCUUUGAAACAGUAGGACUCAGUAGUUUACUUCUCUGGUGGUAAAGCUGCAAGCACACACAGCAAGCUGAAGUUUGUUUGAUGGAUUACUGCAGCUGGUUAUGUUUUUCUCCUCACACCCACCAUCUGUCUGAUUAAAGCUAAGAGAUGUAAAUAAUUUCACCCGUUUUUCUAAGUGCUCUUUGAUCACUUAGCACGUUUUCAUCUUACUCCUCAGUGCUGGAUAUCCUGACAUCUAUGUAUCCAGGCAUUUGUAGUAGGAAGAUUCCAUUUUUUAAAUACUCAAACAAAUCUCUGCAUCAUUCAAGAAGUUUUGACCAGCCAAUAGUUCUGUGCCAGACAUCAGCUGCUCCAGAAUGAUCUAGGGGCUAAAAUGAAAGGGUUCUGCAGAACAUACUGGUGUUGUAAUUAGCAGGACUGCUGGUAUAGGUUGUUGCGAGGAGCUGAAUUUCAAAGCAAAUAUCUUCACCCAGAGCCUAAAAAUCACAGUUUCAAGGUGACAGAAGAUGAGUUUUGUUCUAAAAAGCCGUAACAUGCUUUCUGUUUUUGGAAUCCUGCCAUCAUUAUGUUUUACUGAAGACAGUGGGAAUUACCAUAAUAUCACUCCAUGUCUUGACAGCCCAGAUUGCACAGUAUUUUUGCCUGCUUCUCAGGCAAAAUGCCCUGAGACCAUCCGUUUGCACCCCUGCCAGUAGGAUGGGAAGACAGAAGGUCGGACACUGCUGGAGGCAGUGGCAUCAAGGCUGCCACCAUGAAGCCCUGACCUCCCCUGCCCCAAAUGCCAGUGUCUGUGAUGCGGAGCAGUGUCUGGCCACUACAUGAAGUGUCAUUUUGCCAGUUGCGGGGGGGGGGGGGGGGGGGGAAGAGGCAGAUCGACUGUGUUGACAGCCUUUCUGGUACCCAAAUGACAAGAAUGUACAGAUUGCUUCUUACAGCUUUGAUUUCACUGAGGUGCUGACAAAACCAUAUUCUUGUUUAGGCAUCUAGACAGGUCUUACUGAAAAGUAUUGCACAGGCUUUUGGGGGAUGCAUCGCUUACAUCAUUCACUAGCUUUUCUAAAAUAUUUUCUUUUUUUCUUUCUUUUUGUUUUUUUUUUUUCCACAAGGAUUUUGCUGAGGUUUUGGGGCCUCUGAUUCUAGCAAGCUGUCUGUUCAUGGACUCAGUCCAAGGCAGACUUGAAGUGUAACUGAGUGUAUUUUUAAAAAGUGACCCAUGCUUUUAAAUGCUUAAAGUACUGUUUUCCUGCCUUUUCACAUUACUUAAGUGAGCCAAAUCCAAAUUGCUUGGAGUUUCGUACAAGACAUAAAUCUCAACAAAUGGUUGGGGAUUUUUUUUUCUCAUGCCUGUGUUUCUCAGAUUUCAUCCAAUGUUAAUUUUCCAAGGGAAAAAAAUCUUCAAACAUGCAUAAUAACUCUCCUAAAGAUAAUAAAUAUGGCCUGUCAUUGUCAUAACUUGCUUCCUUCAACGCACUGGGGAUUAUCUGAUAGUUAAAGACCAAUCUCGUAAACAACUAUACUGAGAUAUCUUACUGCCAGGAGUACUCUCUUUUUUUUCUUUCUUUUCUUUCUUUUUUUUGCUAUGAUUUUUAUUUAUUGAUUUAUUUUUUUGUGUGUGUUAUAACCAGUACUAAGAAUGCUAAGAAGAUUAUAGGAAGAUAAGGGUAUCAAGGCUUCACCAAGUAUUGCCUAAAGCUUGCGAAGACUAUUCCUACAUUAAUGAAGUUACUCUUGAUAGAGUGGCAAUUUAUUGUCAAUUAUUGAGAACAAAGAUGGUAUUCGGAACAUCACAUGGAUGUUUGUUAUAACCAGUAACUUGUCAUUUUUGUAACUUAAAACUAGAAGGCACUUUUCAAACGUGGAGGACAUAUGUUUCAAAUGGGGGGAUUUGUACCAAUUUACCUUGUAGAGGUUUGUGUUAGAAGAUGAUUAGUUUAAGAAGUUUAUUGGGUGCAAGGUAUGACGUACAGUUACUGUGAACCACAGGUUUCCUAUUAAUGAAGUGACUUCAGUUUCCAUGCAAGAAACUCCUUAGUAAUCAAUUGGUUUAUUUUGAUCAUGUUGUGUUUGAGGUGAGUUAUAUGCUGUUCCUUUUAAUUGUAUAGAAUAGAUUUUGUGUUUAAAUAGUGUCAUUAAAUACUCAUGGGAAAGAAAUUCACUGAAUCUCUAUGGCCAGUUUUGCAGCUGAGGUAGCUCACAGAAUGCACAUGGCCAAACACAGAAUUGGGGGGAAAAAUGCCAUUUGAAAAUGAUGGAUUGUGGAAACUAAUAAUUCAAAUGAGAAAAAGUUCUUUUGAGCCCUUUAGCUUUAAGGGGUGUUUGUGUCCAAGACGAAUGGUUUGUGCUGGCUAGUGUUCAUCUCCAUGAGAAACGUCCCAUCCUUUAGUCCCUAUGGAGU